GAAAAAAAUUUUUUCAAAAGACAAAAAUGGACAUCUGUGAUUUUCUCACGACAGCGACAAAAUGUUUGUGUGUGACUUAAGUGAGACAAACAACACUGGCUGACAGGCUGUACAAGAAAGCAGCAGCGGAAAGCACCAAUUUUUGUGCUUGAGGAGGUGUGUGAUGUCACUUCAGUGCACUUUCACCUCAGUUUCAUGGACUGGAUGACACAUGCGCACGCAUCACUCAACGCUUCUGAACUUGUGCUUUCCCAAAUUGUUGAAAAUAUUGCAUUUUCUCCAAAGCACAUGUUCAGAAGCGGUGAGUGAUGUUGUUGCCUGCCUCCACGUGUGUCAGUGCUGUGCAGUCCAUGCUUCCUCAAGCAGACAGCACGGGGUCCUCUGCUGCUGGUUUCAAUGUACUGCCCGUCAGUUUGUGUCGGUGUGGAACUUUAGUCAAGCUUUGUUGGUAAAAUGAUGAGACAUUGUUGAAAAAAAUAAAUGCUUGUCAAU